GGGACUAGGAGAGGGUUCUUGCCCCGAUACUGCUCAUUUCUCAUAGGUCUGACUCGAGACAGACAAGUAUAGCUGCAGACAUGAGGGAAGAAGAGUACCAGGAAGAGGAUCCUGACUAGGCUGCCGUCCACCUCCUCAACUCGGGACUUCCACCACGUGCCUUCCCACUCAGUCUUGAUAAGCUGUCCACUCUUGAGCAAAACCAUGGGGCGGUUGGGGGGACGCUGGUUUGAUCCUGGUCGGGGAACUAAGAUCCCACAUGCUGUGGAGCAACUAAACUUGCACACUGCAACUACUGAGCCCAUGCACUCUGUAGCCCGCGCACCACAACUAGAGAGAAGCCCACACGCUGUGACGAAAGAUCCCGCAUGCUGCAAUGAAGAUCCCACGAGCCACAACUAAGACCUGACGCAGCCAAAUAAUAAAUUAAAAAAAAAGGAAGGCAAUGGUGGUAAUCACUUUGCAAUAAACAUACGUAUCAAAUCAUUAUGUCUUAUACCUUAAACUAAUACUAUAUUAUUUGUCAAUUAUAUCUCAAAAAAACUGGGGGGAAAGUAGCAAAAAUAAAUAAAUAAAAACAAAAAUGGAAAGCAAUGUAAAUUUCUGAAAAUAACAAAAAUAGUUAAAUAAACUACAACAUAUCUAAAUGAGGUUCAUAAAGAAUCUUCAAUAACACGAGGCAAUGCUAAUGAUAUAUAUUAAGUUUUAAAAGUUAGGAUACAAAAUCAUUUAUUUGAUAUGAACUCAACCUUGGAGAGAAUACACAGACACACCUGCGCAUGUGCACACAUUCCUCAAAGAACUGUGACUAUGGCAUAUGAUUAAUAUCUGUUAUCUUAGAACUCCACAACUGUAAAAGGCUUCAAAACACAUGUUCUGUAUUUGAGGACAAAUUAAGGAAGGACGGUUAUUAAUCUUGCAGGGGUUUUUACCUUUAAAAUAUAUUUAGCUACAUUCAUGUGGUAAAAAAUUCAAACAUUAUAAAAGGACACACAAUCAAAAAUAAGUCUCCCUCCCACCGCUGCUUCUCGUUACUUGCCUCAGAAAUAACCAAUAUUAACAGUACCUUUUGCAGCCAAAGAUAUUCUGGAAUGUUACAUAUGUAUUCUAUCCUGCCUUCAUCCUUUUACUUCACACUUUUACUCACACAUGCAGUUUUAUUCUUAAUAAAUUUAUUUAUUUAUGUAUGUAUGUAUGUCUGCACUGGGUCUUCAUUGAUGCACGCAGGCUUUCUCUAUUUGUGGCAAGCGGGGGCUAUUCUUUGUUGCAGUGUGUGGGUUUUUCAUUGCAAUGACUUCUCUUGUUGUGGAGCAUGGGCUCUAGGUGUGCGGGCUUCAGUAGUUGUGGCACACAGGCUCAGUAGUUGUGGCUCACGGGCUUAGUUGCUCCAUGGCAUGUGGGAUCUUCCUGGACCAGGAAGAUCCACUGUGCCACCAGGGAAGUCCUAACAUGCAGUUUUUUGUUUUUAUUUUUGGCUGCAUUGGGUCUUAAUUGCAGCACGCGGGAUCUUUGUUGUGGCAAUGCAGGCUCUUUCGUUACGGUGCGUGGGCUCUUCAUUGCGGCACACGGGAUUCUCUAGUUGUGGUGCACAGGCUUCAGAGCGUGCAUGCUCUAGAGCUCGUGGGCUCUGUAGUUUGCGGCACGCAGGCUCUCUGGUUGAGGGGCACAGGCUUACUGCCCCACGGCAUGUGGGAUCUUAGUUCCCCAACCAGGGAUUGAACCUGCAUCCCCUGCAUUGGAAGGCAUAUUCUUAACCACUGGACCACCAGGGAAGUCCCCUUCGUGCAGUUUUUAUGUUGCUUUUUAUCUCCACACUUAAAAUAACUAGGAAAAGUAUUCCCUAUCAGGACCUACAAAUCUGAUUUUUCCCCCAAUUAUUUUAUUGUGGCAAAAUACACAUAACACAGAAGUUACCAUCUUAACCAUUUUCAAGUGCACAGUCAGUGGUAUUAAGUACAUUCAUGUCACUGUGCAACCAUUACCAUCAGUCAUCUCCAGAACUCUAAGUCACCAAGUUAAGACACGAGGAACAGGACAGAGGGAGCAUGAGGGAGUAUAGUCAUCUGUAUGAAAGGUCUGAAUUAAAUGUCCAGCUUUGUUAAAAAUAUAAGCAGAAACUUUACACCAAUAAAUUGAAUACUUAAGAAAAAAUAUAAAUUAGAAAAUUACAAGUUACCAAAUCUGACUCAAAGAAAUAGAAAAGCUUUGCACAAAGUAAAUAGAUACCUAGAUGGCUUCACAGGCAAACUGUAUCAAACACUCAAGGGAUACAUAAUUCCAAGUUUGCAAACACUUCCCAAGAAUUAAAAGAAGAAAUACUGCCUAUUCCAUUCUACAAGCCCACCAAAAUCUCAAUAUUAAAAUCACAGAAGGGUAGUACCAAAAAAAAAAAAAUUAUAGGCCUAUCUCUGUUAUAAAAGUGAAGAUGCAAGAUAAAAGUGAAGAUGCAAAAAUCCUAAAUAUCAGCACAACAAGGGCUUCCCUGGUGGCGCAGUGGUUGAGAGUCCACCUGCCGAUGCAGGGGACACAGGUUCGUGCCCCAGUCUGGGAAGAUCCCACAUGCCGCGGAGCGGCUAGGCCCGUGAGCUAUGGCCGCUGAGCCUGCGCGCCCGGAGCCUGCGCCCCGCAACGGGAGAGGCCACAGCAGUGAGAGGCCCGCGUACCGGAAAAAAACAAAAAGAAAGGAAGUAAAAUGACUAUUUGCAGAAAGCAUGGUCUAAUGUAUAGAAAAUCCUAAGGGAGCCACAAAAAACUUCUAGGAAACUGAUAAGCUGAUGCUAAAAUUUAUUUGGAUUAUAUAUGAAAUACAAAUGAAUUUGGAGGACUUUCACUAAGUGAUUUUAAUACUUACUGUAAAGCUACAGUAAUUAAGACAGUGUGGUGCUGGUAUAAAAAUAAACAUUUAGUUCAAUGUGACCCUCAAAUACAACAUAUAGCCAGCUGAUUUUUGACAAGGACACCAAAAGAAUAGUCUUUUCAACAAAUGGUGGCGGAACAACUAGAUAGCCAUAAGCAAAACAAACCAACCAACUACCCUCAGCUCUUAUGUUAAGAAUUUUUAUUCUUCAAAAGACACCAUUAAGAAAAUGAAAAGACCACAUCUGGGAAAAUGUUUGUAAAACAGAUCUGAUAAAUGAAUUGUACCUAAAGUAUAAUAAAUCAGAAGACAUAUAUAUUGACUUAGAAAAGUCAAUAAUAAAAAGACAACCCAAUUUUUUAAAAAAGGCAAAACGAUUUGAAUAGAUAUUUCCUCAAAAAACAUACAUAAAUGGCAAAUAAGUAUGUGAAAAGAUGCUCAAUGUCUUUAGGAACAUGCAAACUACAAUCACAAUGUGAGGGAGUCCCCUAGUGGCCUAAUGGUUAGGAUUCCAGCUUUCGCUGCUGUGGCCUGGGUUCAGUCCCUGGCUGGAGAACAGAGAUCCCACAAGCCACGCAGCGUGGCCAAAAAAAAAAAAAAAAAAGCUACAAUCCCACUUUGCUAGUGGGAAUGUAAAAUGAUAUGGCCACUUUGGAAAACACAAUAGCAGUUUCUUAAAAACUCAAACAUACACUUACCUAAGACUUACCAAUUCCACUCCUAGGCGGAGUAUCCAACAGACAUGAAACAUAAUGUGGACAUUAAGACUUACACAUCAGGGACUUCCCUGGUGGCACAGUGGUUAAGAAUCCACCUGCCAAUACAGGAGACAUGGGUUUGAUCCCUGGUCCGGGAAGAUACCAAGUGCCACAGGGCAACCAAGCCCGUGUGCCACAACUACUGAGCCUGCAUUCUACAGCCUGCGAGACACAACUACUGAGCCCGUGUGUCACAACUACUGAAGCCCGUGCGCCUAGAGCCUGGGGUCCGCAACACAGAGAAGCCACCACAAUGAGAAGCCCGCACACCGCAACAAAGAGUAGCUCCCACUCACAGCAACUAGAGAAAGCCCGUGCGCAGCAAUGAAGACCCAAUGCAGCCAAAAAUAAAUUAAUAAACUAAAAACAAACAUACAAAAAACUGUUAAAGAAUAGACAAAACCAAAUAAUCUGUUUUGAGAUAUAUACAUAGGUGCUAAUGCCACCUAUAAAGAAAAGCAAGGGAAUUCAGAAUACAGGUUACAUAGAAUGGGGAAAGGAGAACAAUUCAAUCAGGAAGUAGCAAGAAGUGAAAAUCUAUGAUAUCAAUACUAACAAUCUUCUAUUUUUUUUUUCUGUAACAGACAAGUCCAACAGUUACGAAUAUGGAGUUAGAAUGGUUUCUCCUUUCUUUUACCUUCUAUUUGUUCAUCUUCCCACGUUUCAAUUUUAAUCCUGAGACUUUCCUGUCCAUAGCCUCA